rnacentral:rRNA from 1 species
UACGGAGGGUGCGAGCGUUGUCCGGAAUCAUUGGGCGUAAAGGGCGCGUAGGUGGCGGGACAAGCGUGCGGUGAAGCUCGGGCUCAACCCCGCGUCGGCCGUGCGAACUGUUUUGCUUGAGCACUGUAGAGGCAGGCGGAAUUCCGGGUGUAGCGGUGGAAUGCGUAGAGAUCCGGAAGAACACCGGUGGCGAAGGCGGCCUGCUGGGCAGUAGCUGACACUGAGGCGCGACAGCGUGGGAGCAACAGG